rnacentral:rRNA from 1 species
UGAGAGGGUGAUCGGCCACACUGGAACUGAGACACGGUCCAGACUCCUACGGGAGGCAGCAGUAGGGAAUCUUCCGCAAUGGGCGAAAGCCUGACGGAGCAACGCCGCGUGAGUGAUGAAGGUCUUCGGAUCGUAAAACUCUGUUAUUAGGGAAGAACAAAUGUGUAAGUAACUAUGCACGUCUUGACGGUACCUAAUCAGAAAGCCACGGCUAACUACGUGCCAGCAGCCGCGGUAAUACGUAGGUGGCAAGCGUUAUCCGGAAUUAUUGGGCGUAAAGCGCGCGUAGGCGGUUUUUUAAGUCUGAUGUGAAAGCCCACGGCUCAACCGUGGAGGGUCAUUGGAAACUGGAAAACUUGAGUGCAGAAGAGGAAAGUGGAAUUCCAUGUGU